rnacentral:rRNA from 1 species
AUUGAACGCUAGCGGGAUGCUUUACACAUGCAAGUCGAACGGCAGCGCGGACUUCGGUCUGGCGGCGAGUGGCGAACGGGCGAGUAAUGUAUCGGAACGUGCCCAGUAGCGGGGGAUAACUACGCGAAAGCGUAGCUAAUACCGCAUACGCCCUACGGGUGAAAGCAGGGGAUCGUAAGACCUUGCCCUAUUGGAUCGGCCGAUAUCGGAUUAGCUAGUUGGUGAGGUAACGGCUCACCAAGGCGACGAUCCGUAGCUGGUUUGAGAGGACGACCAGCCACACUGGGACUGAGACACGGCCCAGACUCCUACGGGAGGCAGCAGUGGGGAAUUUUGGACAAUGGGGGCAACCCUGAUCCAGCAAUCCCGCGUGUGCGAUGAAGGCCUUCGGGUUGUAAAGCACUUUUGGCAGGAAAGAAACGUCGCGGGCUAAUACCCCGUGGAACUGACGGUACCUGCAGAAUAAGCACCGGCUAACUACGUG